AUAGUUAUGUACUUGGCUUAGUUAGAUUGGAUCUAUAUACAUGCUUAUGAUCGUAUAGCGUUUAUCCAUCGGAUCCACGGGUAAAUGAUAGAUAUUGUGUAGGCGUGGUGCUUAUAACGUAUUUAUCUGCGAUUGUACCCAAUAUGCCAGAUCGUGGGGUAGUUCGUGAUAGUGACAGCUUCAUUGAUUCUUAUAUAGUCCCCCUCUCGUGUAUUGGGCUGGCAGAGCAACAUUAUUACAGGGGAGUGAUUGCUAUGUGUCGACGAAAGCUAGUCGGCAGUCUACCUUGGGGUAUACCCACGGUAGUAGUUUAUCGGUAGACGGUGCGCAAACUACGAACUCGAUGGUGACGCAAGACACGGACAAGCUUUUUAUCC
rnacentral:lncRNA from 1 species